AGAGUUUGAUCCUGGCUCAGGAUGAACGCUAGCGGCGUGCUUAACACAUGCAAGUCGAGCGAAGCAGUUAAGUUGAUUUCUUCGGAUUGAUUCUUAACUGACUGAGCGGCGGACGGGUGAGUAACGCGUGGGUGACCUGCCCCAUACCGGGGGAUAACAGCUGGAAACGGCUGCUAAUACCGCAUAAGCGCACAGAGCUGCAUGGCUCGGUGUGAAAAACUCCGGUGGUAUGGGAUGGGCCCGCGUCUGAUUAGGCAGUUGGCGGGGUAACGGCCCACCAAACCGACGAUCAGUAGCCGGCCUGAGAGGGCGACCGGCCACAUUGGGACUGAGACACGGCCCAAACUCCUACGGGAGGCAGCAGUGGGGAAUAUUGCACAAUGGGGGAAACCCUGAUGCAGCGACGCCGCGUGAGCGAAGAAGUAUUUCGGUAUGUAAAGCUCUAUCAGCAGGGAAGAUAAUGACGGUACCUGACUAAGAAGCCCCGGCUAACUACGUGCCAGCAGCCGCGGUAAUACGUAGGGGGCAAGCGUUAUCCGGAUUUACUGGGUGUAAAGGGAGCGUAGACGGCAAGGCAAGUCUGAUGUGAAAACCCAGGGCUUAACCCUGGGACUGCAUUGGAAACUGUCUGGCUCGAGUGCCGGAGAGGUAAGCGGAAUUCCUAGUGUAGCGGUGAAAUGCGUAGAUAUUAGGAAGAACACCAGUGGCGAAGGCGGCUUGCUGGACGGUAACUGACGUUGAGGCUCGAAAGCGUGGGGAGCAAACAGGAUUAGAUACCCUGGUAGUCCACGCCGCAAACGAUGAAUGCUAGGUGUUGGGGAGCAAAGC
rnacentral:rRNA from 1 species